rnacentral:rRNA from 1 species
GAUGAACGCUAGCUACAGGCUUAACACAUGCAAGUCGAGGGGAAACGAUAUUGGAAGCUUGCUUCCGAUAUGCGUCGACCGGCGCACGGGUGAGUAACACGUAUCAAACCUGCCCCUCACUUGGGGAUAACAUUGCGAAAGUAAGACUAAUACACAAUGACGUCUCUAGAGGACAUCUGAAAGAGAUUAAAGAUUUAUCGGUGAUGGAUGGGGAUGCGUCUGAUUAGCUUGUUGGCAGGGUAACGGCCCACCAAGGCGACGAUCAGGAGGGGUUCUGAGAGGAAGGUCCCCCACAUUGGAACUGAGACACGGUCCAAACUGCUACGGGAGGCAGCAGUGAGGAAUAUUGGUCAAGGGGCGAGAGCCUGAACCAGCCAAGUAGCGUGCAGGAUGACGGCCCUAUGGGUUGUAAACUGCUUUUAUAAGGGAAUAAAGUGAGAGUCGUGACUCUUUUUGCAUGUACCUUAUGAAUAAGGACCGGCUAAUUCCGUGCCAGCCGCCGCGGUAA